rnacentral:rRNA from 1 species
CCUACGGGUUGCAGCAGUGGGGAAUAUUGCACAAUGGGCGCAAGCCUGAUGCAGCCAUGCCGCGUGUAUGAAGAAGGCCUUCGGGUUGUAAAGCACUUUCAGUAGGGAGGAAGGUAGUGUAGUUAACACCUGCACUAUUUGACGUUACCUACAGAAGAAGCACCGGCUAACUCCGUGCCAGCAGCCGCGGUAAUACGGAGGGUGCGAGCGUUAAUCGGAAUUACUGGGCGUAAAGCGCAUGCAGGCGGCCUGUUAAGUCAGAUGUGAAAGCCCGGGGCUUAACCUCGGAAUUGCAUUUGAAACUGGCAGGCUAGAGUCUUGUAGAGGGGGGUAGAAUUCCAGGUGUAGCGGUGAAAUGCGUAGAGAUCUGGAGGAAUACCGGUGGCGAAGGCGGCCCCCUGGACGAAGACUGACGCUCAGGUGCGAAAGCGUGGGGAGCAAACAGGAUUAGAUACCCGCGUAGUC